AAAGGUAAGCUACUAAGAGCGAAUGGUGGAUGCCUUGACUGGUAAAGGCGAUGAAGGACGUACUAGACUGCGAUAAGCUACGGGGAGCUGUCAAGAAGCUUUGAUCCGUAGAUUUCCGAAUGGGGCAACCCAAUGUAUAGAGAUAUACAUUACCUAUAUAGGAGCGAACGAGGGGAAUUGAAACAUCUUAGUACCCUCAGGAAAAGAAAUCAAUAGAGAUUGCGUCAGUAGCGGCGAGCGAAAGCGCAAGAGGGCAAACCCAGUGCUUGCACUGGGGGUUGUAGGACUGCAAUGUGCAAGAGGUAAGUUUAGCAGAACAUUCUGGAAAGUAUAACCAUAGAGGGUGAUAGUCCCGUAUGCGAAAAACAAACCUUAGCUAGCAGUAUCCUGAGUAGGGCGGGACACGAGGAAUCCUGUCUGAAUCCGGGUCGACCACGAUCCAACCCUAAAUACUAAUACCAGAUCGAUAGUGCACAAGUACCGUGAGGGAAAGGUGAAAAGAACUGAGGUGAUCAGAGUGAAAUAGAACCUGAAACCAUUUGCUUACAAUCAUUCAGAGCCCUAUGUAGCAAUACAGGGUGAUGGACUGCCUUUUGCAUAAUGAGCCUGCGAGUUGUGGUGUCUGGCAAGGUUAAGCAAACGCGAAGCCGUAGCGAAAGCGAGUCUGAAUAGGGCGCUUAGUCAGAUGCUGCAGACCCGAAACGAAGUGAUCUAUCCAUGAGCAAGUUGAAGCUAGUGUAAGAACUAGUGGAGGACUGAACCCAUAGGCGUUGAAAAGCCCCGGGAUGACUUGUGGAUAGGGGUGAAAGGCCAAUCAAACUUCGUGAUAGCUGGUUCUCUCCGAAAUAUAUUUAGGUAUAGCGUUGUGUCGUAAUAUAAGGGGGUAGAGCACUGAAUGGGCUAGGGCAUACACCAAUGUACCAAACCCUA
rnacentral:rRNA from 1 species